rnacentral:lncRNA from 1 species
UACUUUUUUAGCAUCAUUAGAAUUCUGAACCAGUGGGUCCGCAGCGGCACGAACUUCUUCUGCACUUUCUUCUUGGCUAGCUGAGGUCCCCUUGCUGAAUUCAGCAGAAUGAAAUGAGGCAUCUUCCCCAGCUGGUUUAAUCUCUAUCUUAUUUUCCUCUAGCACAUUCAGAGCAUCUGCAGCGGCAGGAACUUCUUGUGCUACACUUUCUUCUUGGCAAACUAAGAUCGCCUUGCUGAGUUCAGCAGAAUGAAAUGAGGCAUCUUCCCCAGCUGGUUUACUCUCUAUCUUAUUUUCCUCUAGCACAUUCAGUGCAUCCGCAGCGGCAGGAACUUCUUGUGCUACACUUUCUUCUUGACUAGCUGAUGUCGCCUUGCUGAGUUCAGCAGAUUGAGAUGCGGCGUCAGUCCCAGCUGGUUUACUCUCUAUCUUAUUUUCCUCAAGCACAUUCAGUGCAUCUACAGCGGCAGGAACUUCUUGUGCUGCACUUUCUUCUUGGCUAGCUGAGGUGGCCUUGCUGAGUUCAGCAGAAUGAGAUGAGGUGUCAGCCCCAGCUGGUUUGCUCUCAAUCUUAUUUUCCUCAAGAAUAUUCAGUGCAUCUGCAGCGGCAGGAACUUCUUCUGCACUUUCUUCUUUGCUAGCUGAGGUUGCCUUGCUGAGUUCAGCAGAAUGAGAUGAGGCAUCUGUCCCAGCUGGUUCACUCUCGUUCUUAUCCUCCUCAAGCACACUCAAUGGUAGCGUUUUGUUGAGGCUGUUAUCGAGAGGUUUAUCUUCAGCUUCUUGAAUUUCCAUUUUCUCUAUGUUUCCCUCAUCCAUUGUUUCUUCUUU